UUUGUGAUGUUAAAUUGCGAAGAUCUUGAGGUUUCGUUUAAGGGCGUGUCUGUGGCGGCCUUACAAAUUUCGAUGUUUCGCCAUGAGAAAGGAAGUUGCUAUAACUCAGACAUACAAUGUCCAAUCUGCCCCAAACUUCACAUGUUUGAGAAGACUCCUGACCUGAAUAUAUCUACAUGCCAAUAUUCAGAUAUCGCUAUAGCGCCACCUGCUGGCAACAGGAAGUGACAUGUUUUACGCCGUAACAAACUACUCCUAGAAAUUUUAUGACAUUUUAUAAUUUUUUUUGGUCAGUCUAAUCUAAAGGCCUUUGCGAUGUUAAAUUGUGAACAUCUUGAGGUUUCAUUAAAGGGUGUGGCCAUGGCGCCGUGACAAAGUUUGAUGUCUCGCCAUGGGAAUAGAAGUUGUUGUAACUCAGGCAUAAGAUGUCCGAUCUUCCCCAAACUUCACAUGUUCGAAAAGAGUCUUGGCCUGAACACAUCUGAAGGUCAUUAUUCCACUAUAAUCAUAGCGCCACCUGCUGACAACAGAAAAUGGCUUGUUUUACACUAACUUAAACAUGCAAUGUCCAAUCUGCACCAAACUUCAAAUAUUUGAUAAGAGUCAUGGCCUGAAGAUAUCUAAAGGCCAAUGUUCAGUUAUAAUCAUAGCGCCACCUGUU
ensembl:lncRNA